GUGGAACAAAGUGCCCUGAGGGCUGAAACAGCUCGCACAAAAUCAGUGCGCUGAAGCCCAUUUGCUUUAAUCGUGGAAGAGGGACCCAGGCAGAGCCUACCCACCCUUGCAACCGAAUAGCUUUGAUUAUCUGCUUUGCAGCCCACAGCAGAUGAAAACCAACAGUUUAUUUGGGUAGUGGAAAUAAAUGAAUAAAAAGCAGAAAUGCGGCUAAAAUGUGCAAAGGGAUUAUCGAUGUCAGAGAGGAAGCUCAAGGGGAGGAAAUGUGCUUUGCAGACACUCAGUGCUCACAUGUAUCUGGUUCCCAUCCUGAAUACAUUUAGUGAACAGGGCUGAACGCCUGCCCUUCACCACGCUCCGUGCUCAGGAUCUAGACGUUAGAGGCUCAGUGCCUGCCCCCAGGGCUUGAAAUCUCCCAUAAAACUGAACAAAUAAAAGGCAGUCAUGAGACAGCGUGGAGAGUGGCUAAGUGCUACAUGAGACUGAAGCCAGGACAAUGCGCCAGGAGCACUGAAACGCUGCAGCUGAGGCGAAUGGAGCAGUGGAAACGAGAUAAGGGGACAACUCGAAAGACUGAGGAGGUGGAAUUUCCGGUCCAGCAUGACUGACUGGAGGCGAGGGGAGAAGGAGAAGUCAAGGAUGGCUCUCAGAUCCUGGUUGGUGUGAAGAAUCAGUUAGAGGCUCCAGUCUCUCCAGAGGGCUUUGCCUUAGUCCAGCUGACAUUUCAAAUGAAGACUUGGGAAUCACUGACGAAAGAUUCUAUACCAACCAAACACGGCUUCCGUCAGUGAGCACAUGUUCUACAUUGAGCGGUAUUAGGACAUUCAGAAAACGCACCCGACUGACAAGUCCAGAGUUUACUCUGGUUCUUUUAAAGAUUUGAAGUGAAAGUGUCAAGGUUCACAAGGCUGUGUGCCCCCUGUGGCCGGGUUGAAGAGCUGUCAUUACUCCUGCGGUCGUAGACACUGCUGCUUCCUAAUUCCAGCCCGAUGUGCAUCUCACCGCACUGUCCACCUGCCGCUGUGUUCAUCUGGUGUUACUUCCUAACUUCAAAUACAUUUUUGAACGUUGCCAUCUGAGCUUGUACACUGUGUUGUGCUUAGAACACUAUAGGAAAGACACCAUUCAUUUAAUUCUCACCACUCCAUCCUAAGUACUUUUUCUGCGAGGCUGUGGUCUUUAAAAACGCAGUAGCCCAGAGGCCCUUCUGCUGAGGCUGUACCCAUCACAGAGAGUAAAUGUGCUCAUAAGAGAACUUCUGCAUCAUUCUUUUUAAAAUGUCAAAGUAAUACAUGUCCAUGACGAGAUCAGAAAAUGUGAGCAGAAAGAAAAACUAUGCAUUUAUGUGUAUAAUUUAUAAAUAUGUAUUGGUAAAAGUGUACAUGUAUCUUUAUAAAAAUGUGAUGCAUUUUGUCACUUUUUAAUAUUUUCCUGCCUAACAUAACAUGAACAUGUUCCUUUAUUCUUAUA
rnacentral:lncRNA from 1 species